rnacentral:rRNA from 1 species
AGUUCGGAUCGCAGGCUGCAACCCGCCUGCGUGAAGUUGGAAUCGCUAGUAAUCGCGGAUCAGCAUGCCGCGGUGAAUACGUUCCCGGGCCUUGUACACACCGCCCGUCACACCAUGAGAGUCGGGAACACCCGAAGUCCGUAGCCUGACCGCAAGGGGGGCGCGGCCGAAGGUGGGGUUGAUGAUUAGGGUUAAGUCGUAACAAGGUAAC